UUGUGUACUUCGUCAGUUUGGUACUAUAGGUGUUCAAGUUAAGUAUGCAUGUAGUUCUUCUGUUUUAUAACUUUGAGUAGUUGAAUGAAGUUGAAUAGUGUGCUACUAUUAUGGUCCAUUUGUCCUUAUGUAUCAAAACUAACCUUGCACCAGUUGUGUUGUUAAAUUCUUGAAUCUUUGUAGUUUCAGCGGUCACAUUAGACCCUUCUAAGCAAGGACCUAACCCACAUCUUAUUUUGAUUUCAACAUUGUUUAUAUCUACGAACUUGAGUGGUUCUUUGCAAUUAAACAUUGUGAUCGUCUUAUGUGUAUCUAGUUGGAGAACCAAACUGGGAGCAAUGUAGAAGACUGACAAGGGCUGCUGCUAUGAAUACAAGCACACCUGACACAGCAAGGUGCUCUGUUUGUGCUAUAUUUAAGGAUAAGUACUACAUUUAUUCACCCACUGAGCUUUAUGUCUGUUUGUGCUAAGACUCAUAAAUGUUACAACAUUUGUUGGCUUUUGAUCUCAUUACCAACAUCAUCUUUUGCAAGAAAUUGAAGCAAAUGAGAAGCAUAGAUAUCAACUCCAACAUAUGAUUGAGGAGGCCAUUAGUAGCAAUAAAACUUGCUCAUUCUUAGCCUACCCACGCUAUUGGGAAUGGCUAAUGCUGAGCUUCAAUUUGGAAUGGCAAUGAGGGAGAAAGUCAUUAACACCGACAGAAAGCACUAAGAAACAUUUGGGACUUGCUUAUGAUUAUUUACUUAAUAUAGUUGUACAAUUAUGCACCCUUGCGAAGUUAUCUGCCUGUAGAAAAACCAGAGAAGUUGUGUAGGUGAGAGUGCGAGGAUUUGUUGCUAGAUUAAACAAACAUAUAUAGUUGAGCUAGAAAGGAGGUAGCUUCCUCAGUUUAUCUGCAAUCAGUGGUGUUCACCUGGUCAGUUGCUGACCAAAGAAUUUAUGCUCAACAACCCUUACAUUUACAUCCAAAUGUGGAAAACAAAACACCUCAACUUAAUAAUAAUUCUCUCUGCCCUUGGAUUUACAUCCAAGAGUGGUCGAACAUUAUUUUUUUGGUCAAUAACUGACUAGGUGAACAUUUUCGCUGCAAGGUAUAUGAUUGAUUAGGCACUGAUCUCUUUUGAUUCAAGUUGAUUUGAAAGUGAACGAAUCCAUAUUGGUAAUAUAAUUAGGUAAUGAAUGCCUUGUUGGAUCAAAAAGUUUUUAAGCUACUUCAUCUAUUAUCUGUUCAUUUAUGUAACAUGGUUGCAAGUUUCUGUCCAAGUGUUAAAUUGUUGCUACUUUGCAUUUCUAUUCUUUUGUGUAUGUACCAAGUGUUCUGAAUAUAAAGUUAUUACGUAUAAAGUUCAUGGAAAAAAAAAAAAAACAAACAAACCCGCAACAGCACUAGAGCGCUCUUUGUAGUUAUGUUCUCUCUUCUAAAUGUGAGAGUCGGUUUUUGUCCCUACUAUUCGCACCGCUAGCUGGUUUCCUUACACGUAAUGCAAUCGCUUCUAGAAAGAUUCUGAUCUGAUUGGGGUCGAGUUCGUCAUCAAAGCCCAGAAUUUGGAGGGAAAGAAGAUCCAGUCCCGACGAGUCCAAUUGUAUUUCUGAUUUAAUUUUGAUAUGAUUGAAUUUCUGAUUCGUUUGAAAGGUUCCGGCUAGAGGACACGUCAUUGCGGAUGCUCUGCCUGCUCAGAUGCCAGAUAUCUACAUGGAAGACCUUUGCGAAUAUCAAGGAUGAAGAAAUUGGUGAUUGGCAUCAGCGUAGAGGAAUAGAUUUCAAAAUGCCUCUUCUGGGCUACCUGCAAGAAGAUGGCAAUGUUGGAGCAAAAAAGGGAUUGGGAUAUUGUCAGAACAGCUGAGGAGCACCCUGAGAUUCUAUAACUGAAAGUGAACUUUGAUGAGAAUAAGCCAAUGUGCAAAGCGUAUGAACGUGAAGUUCAUAUUCAAUUUUCAAUGAAGAUUUUAGAGAGCUUCCAGGGAACCUUAAUGCAGAACGUCUUGAUGGGGACAUACGAACAGAUUGGGAAAAGGCUCAGCUGCUUUAGCUGAUUUGGGUGAGGCUGAAGAGAAAGAACAUGUUGAUGAUUUGAAGUUCAAGGAUUUGGCUGCCAAAAUUGCAGGAAUAGGCCGCUGUUGCUGAAAUAGACCAGCCAAAAUGGUGGUAAAGAAGUAUUCCCAAUAUGAUUGACAUACAUUCUACUCAAGAAUUCUUGAGUGCUUUAGGUCAAGCUGGAGAGAGCUGUGCAUUAUUUUGUAAACAAUUGAUUAAGUGAUCCAGAUAGGACUUCGUUCUGUCAACAUAAGUCUUGCCGUGCAUAGAAUUUAAUUUUGAUUUUCUAUUUAGCUUAACAUCUAAAAGACUUUUCUUUAUACAAAUGACAUUAGUAAAGUAAUUGAUCACUUACAGGCUUUGAAGUCCCCUUUUGAUCACUUAAAGAAAUUGAUCACAUUUCCAGAUAUUGAUUACAAUUUAAGGCUUUUUAUCAGUAAAUACCUUUUACAAACAAUAAUACCCUUCAGAAAACAUAAGACACUUGGAUGUCCAACAAAAAAUUGAAGUCACCAAGUAAUGCUCGCAUUAUCUAUAGUUGCUAAGUUGUAUAGCAAAGGCUAGACCCUUUUGACUAGUAGGCCCCUUUGGUGUGAAUAUUAUGAUUGAAGAUGUUAAUAACACCGAAUUAUGAUCUGCUUGUUUGUGUGCUUUUUCUUAUUGUCUUCCUGGUUCCUACUAUACCAUCACUGUAUGAUCUCAACUUUCUACACCACCUCUCACUUGGUUCUCACUAUCCUUUAAAGGGAGAGGUGAUGUUAGUGUUCAUUAUCAAUGCAGCUUACUAUUUCAGAUUUGGUUUUAUAAUCAGAUGUGAAUUGUUGCUACUCGACAUGCUUUACUUUAUUGUAUUUUGUGUAUUGCAUCUGCAGCUUUAGUCAUUUCACCUUGCAUCUGUUAGAGCAUCGUUCAU